AUCACUUCCUUAAAAAAAACAUGCUCAAGGUUUCAUUGUCUGAAAGAUAUAUUCAAAAGCUCGGCAGAGAACGUUGAUAAGGAACAUGAAUUGUGAUGUAAUAUAGAGAAAUAAUUUUCAAAUAGAAUAUACGGAGUUCAAGAGAAAAGCAAUGCCUGCGUUAUGUAUAAUAAUCAACAUUUAUGAAAGAAGAUAUUCUAAGCCCAAGAUCAAAUUGUGGUGUGGCGAUGCCUUUGACGAGAAGUCUGGAAUCAAACUGAGCGAAGGCAGCGUCCUGGCCAGGACCGAAGCCAGAUUGAUAGAGGGGAGAACGAAUGUAGGAUUCUAGGGGCUGCGAAGUGUGAGG
rnacentral:misc_RNA from 1 species